UACGGAGGGUGCAAGCGUUAUCCGGAUUCACUGGGUUUAAAGGGUGCGUAGGUGGGUUGAUAAGUCAGUGGUGAAAUCUCCGAGCUUAACUUGGAAACUGCCAUUGAUACUAUCAGUCUUGAAUACCGUGGAGGUUAGCGGAAUAUGUCAUGUAGCGGUGAAAUGCUUAGAUAUGACAUAGAACACCCAUUGCGAAGGCAGCUGACUACGCGGAGAUUGACACUGAGGCACGAAAGCGUGGGGAUCAAACAGG
rnacentral:rRNA from 1 species